UACGAAGGGGGCUAGCGUUGCUCGGAAUCACUGGGCGUAAAGGGUGCGUAGGCGGGUCUUUAAGUCAGGGGUGAAAUCCUGGAGCUCAACUCCAGAACUGCCCUUGAUACUGGCGGCCUUGAGUCCGGGAGAGGUGAGUGGAACUGCGAGUGUAGAGGUGAAAUUCGUAGAUAUUCGCAAGAACACCAGUGGCGAAGGCGGCUCACUGGCCCGGUACUGACGCUGAGGUGCGAAAGCGUGGGGAGCAAACAGG
rnacentral:rRNA from 1 species